AAAAAAAAAAAAAAGGAGAUGAGGUUUAGCUGGGCAUGCCAGCCUUCACUUGCCCAAUCACUGUGUGAGUGAUUUGUACGCCCUGAGACCAAGCGAAAGGUAUGAUCUAGAGGUAGCAGCUUUUCUAGAAGCCAGCCUCUGACCCCUCCCACCCAGAAGGAGUAGGCUGAACAGUGGUUAGACAGGCCUUUAAUUCAGGGUUCUUCAAAAAGUGAAUAAAUAGAAGACAGAGGACUCAGCAGCUCUGCCAGGGAGCAAGCCUCCUGGACUUGCUAAUUUUGCAGCAUAGACCUUGCAGAGAGGGUGGAGCCUGGUGAAGAAGGGGUGUUAAUCCCCGCAAGAGGCUGCAAAGCGAACUGCUCACACAGGCUUGGAUUGGGGCAUUGUCUUGCUUUGAAAACCCCCAGAUUUUAUUUUGCUAAAGCUUGCAAUUUCUUCUGUGUGUAAAUGACACUUAAAAUCUGUUUGUAAUGGAACUUGAUUGUAUCCAGCUGUCACCAACUGUUCCCUGUGCCACCCAAAAGACAGCUGGCCACGUGCCACGGUUUGGGCGUUCACUUCAAAUAGAGGAGCUAGUGCUCUAGUUCCUGCUAGACUUCACCAAAAUGUUUUCACUUACGCAGAAAAACAAAGGGGGUGCGGGUAGGGCUCAGGGAAGGCAAUGUGAAGGGGAAUUAGUGCAGUGUGGACUGCGGAGCCACUGACUUUGAUGGACGGUGGGCUGGCUGUUUUCUGAGCAGGGUCCGAAUGCAGUCACAAAGUAUGCUGCCUUCAGCAGCUGCUCCAGUUCACUCAUUCAACAAAUAUUUACCGGGUGGCUGGUAAGUGCUAGGCCUUGCCAAGAGAACUGUAGCCACAUAAGACAGAAAAAUGGCAGAAUAAUACCUUUUUUUUUUUUUUGAGACGAAGUCUCGCUCUGUCAUCCAGGCUGGAGUGCAAUAGCGCGAUCUCAGCUCACUGCAACCUCGGCUUUCCAGGUUCAAGUGACUCCUCUGCCUCAGCCUCCCUGAAUAGCUGGGAUUACAGGCACCCACCACCACGCCUGGCUAAUUUUUGUAUUUUUAGUGGAGAUAUGGUUUCUUUUUCUUUUUCUUUUUUUUUAAAGACAGAGUCUCACUCUGUCACCCAGGCUGGAGCACAAUGGCGCGGUCUCAGCUCACUGCAACCUCCACCUCCUGGGUUCAAGUGAUUCUCCUGCCUCAGCCUCCCGAGUAGCUGGGACUACAGGCGUGUGCCACGAGGCCCGGCUAAUUUUUUUUUAUUUUUAGUAGAGACAGGGUUUCACUAUGUUAGCCAGGCUGGUUUUGAACUCCUGACCUUGUGAUCUGUCUGCCGUGGCCUCCCAAAGAGCUGGGACUACAGGUACAAGCCACCAUGCCUGGCCUUUUUUGGCUGGUCUCGACAUCUUGGGCUCAAGCAAUCCUCUCAUCUCAGCCUCCUGAAGUGCUGGAAUUACAAGCAUGAGCCACUGCGCCCGGCCAACACAUUCAUUUUAAAAUGGCCUUAAAAAAAUCACUGGUUUAUGUAAAAGAACUUGAAUUUCCUACACACAUUUCGCAGCAAGUAUUUGCCAUGUACUUAGACUGUGUGUUGAAAUCUGGUCUCAUGAUGGUAAGAAGCUACCUAAAUACCUAGAUCCUGCUUAAGGGAGUGGCAAUCUUGUGACCUGUUUCUCACUCAAUGUCUAAUGGAUAUUUGGCAGCCAUGUCCUGUUGCUUCCUCUAAUCAACACCCUCCUAAAUGAAGCAGUAAGGGAGAAAACCAAUGAAAACACGCAUGCAAGACAUGUAUCGUGAGAGUGACAGCUGACAAUCAUGAUAAUUUGAAUCUAACCUUUGCAUUUUAGAGGAGAAAAGCAAAUUCAUGAUGCUAACUCAUGGCAGACCCCUUAGAACACAGGUCUUGAUUCCCAAUCUGGCCUUCUUUUUUUUUUUUUUUUUUUUUUUAGCUGGAGUUUC
rnacentral:lncRNA from 1 species